ensembl:lncRNA
GGUUGAUAUUUAUGUGAAUGUUCUUAAACAUUUUUAACAUUUUUUUUCCCACCAAAAAUGUUGAAAAUGUGGACAUCAGAAAUUUCACUGUGAAAACAGAUUUCUUUCCCACAUUUUCAAACUUUAAAAUGAGUCAAUUUUGACCUGCAGGACGACAUGAGGAUUCAACUUAUUUUGAGUUUUCUUGUAAAAUUCAACUCAAACAAGAUAAUUUCCAGAUUGUUUGACUGAACAAGAUAUUUAAGAUGCAUUGUCCUCCAUCUGCUGAAAUGUCUCUUGUUAAGUGAAUUUAUCUUAAAUCCAGUGGGAUGAGACAUUUGGACUAAAAAUAAGACAAACAGACUUGGUCAGAUUUUGAGUUUCUGCAGUGUAGUCGCCCAUCGAGGGCCUCUGACUGAUUCAUUGCUCAUUUUGCUCACAGUGUGAAUUAAAGCUGGAAGCUGCCUUAUCGUUGUGUCUGGUUUUACUGCAGUAGAGGAACAAAUACUACGUUCCCUGAAUGUUCCCCAUAACUCUGUGGUCCUCAGCUAGGUUUGGUUCCUGCUGUAGAGAUGAGGUUCAUGUUUUCUAUGGAUGAUGUGCAAUUGUGCUGAAGAGACGGUUUCUGAAACUCAAGAGUUCUUUUCUUCCUCUCUGGGUGAAACACAAGCAGGUUUGAAAUGUUUCUGUGAUGUUUGAGGUACACCAACGUUUUGCUCUUUUAAUUAAGUCUUUUUUCUCCGAAGAGCGUCUGAACAGAACGUCUUUUUGUAAAUUCUGGACGACAGACGCUCAACGUUUCUAACUGUGGAUGUUUUGUUGAUAUCAGCUCGAUAGCAGUUGAUCUGUUUUCCGUUUGGUUUGUUUUUGUAUCGUCGGGGUGCGCUUGUUUCCGUUCAUCCAGUAAAAGUGACUUUUGUUAGCUAGAAGGAAACAAACGCACCCUUUUGGCUGUUCUCCAGACAGCGGGAAGGAAUGUUUGUACAAACGAAGGAGGUCUGAAACUAACAUUCAGCCAAACAGCUUUUCUGUUUGUCGGAGUGUUGAUAAAACGUUCAUCAGCUCACCCAGAACAUCAUCACGUCUGAUUCUAAACCAAACAUACCUCCAUCUUCAUGUUCUCCCCCUCUGCUCCGGAACAUCUUCCUACGUUCGGCUGGUUUGGCUCAACGUUAGUUUCAGGUCCUGCAAACUAAACCAACGAUGAGUUUAAUAUCAUGUUUACAAGCGACUGAUGUUUAUUUAUUCCAUGUCUUAAAGCGUGACCUGUGUUUUAUUGAUAUGCUGCUCUGGUUUGUUCAACCUGAAGUAAAACAGACGUCUUUUAAACUA